rnacentral:rRNA from 1 species
CGGGGUGAGUAAUGUCUGGGAAACUGCCUGAUGGAGGGGGAUAACUGCUGGAAACGGUAGCUAAUACCGCAUAACGUCGCAAGACCAAAGAGGGGGACCUUCGGGCCUCUUGCCAUCGGAUGUGCCCAGAUGGGAUUAGCUAGUAGGUGGGGUAACGGCUCACCAGGCGACGAUCCCUAGCUGGUCUGAGAGGAUGACCAGCCACACUGGAACUGAGACACGGCCAG